UAGAAAAAAAAUUAAACAAAUGCCAAUGAAUUUAACAAUUAGAUCAGUUUACUUAAUAAAAGUUAAGUAUUGAACUUUCUGACCCUUAAAACAAUAAAGAAGGAUUAACAAUAAGGAUACGAAACAUUUCAAGAAAACGGUAACUUCUAAUCGCAAUUGCUGCAGUAUUAAAAUGUAGCAUGACGAGCGAAUCUCAAUCUUAAGAGUACACAACGAGGCAAAAUGAUUUUUUUAUGUUGCUAUCCCACACUUCUCAAUACCGUUGGUAACUCAUUAGUAAUAGUGUUAUUCUCACAAAUCUCCUUAGCGGUGAAAAUUCCAAUUCCAUGAUUCAUAAUCAAUUCUGCUAGGGGUAACUCAUCAGUGUCAUCUAAAUCAACGUGAUAAGGGAUGUAAUGCAGCAUAGUCAAAUUUUGAAGAUAACUG